rnacentral:rRNA from 1 species
UACGGGGGGGGUAAGCGUUGUCCGGAUUUAUUGGGCGUAAAGAGCGUGUAGGCGGCCAGGUAGGUCUGCUGUGAAAACUCGAGGCUUAACCUCGAGAUGUCGGCGGAAACCAUCUGGCUAGAGUCCGGAAGAGGAGAGCGGAAUUCCUGGUGUAGCGGUGAAAUGCGCAGAUAUCAGGAGGAACACCAGUGGCGAAGGCGGCUCACUGGCCCGGUACUGACGCUCAUGUGCGAAAGCGUGGGGAGCAAACAGG